rnacentral:rRNA from 1 species
UACGUAGGGGGCUAGCGUUGUCCGGAUUUAUUGGGCGUAAAGAGCGUGUAGGCGGCCUGGUAGGUCUGCUGUGAAAACUCGAGGCUCAACCUCGAGACGCCGGUGGAAACCGUAAAGCUAGAGUCCGGAAGAGGAGAGUGGAAUUCCUGGUGUAGCGGUGAAAUGCGCAGAUAUCAGGAGGAACACCAGUGGCGAAAGCGGCUCUCUGGGACGGUACUGACGCUGAGACGCGAAAGCGUGGGGAGCAAACAGG